rnacentral:rRNA from 1 species
CCCGCUCAGAAACUCAAAUGAAUUGACGGGGAACCCGCACAAGGCAGCGGAGCAUGUGGUUUAAUUCGAAGCAACGCGAAGAACCUUACCAGAUCUUGACAUCCAAUUGACCAUCUUUAAUCGAGAUUUUGCCUUCGGGUACAAUUGAGACAGGUGGUGCAUGGUUGUCGUCAGCUCGUGCCGUGAGGUGUCGGGUUAAGUCCCAUAACGAGCGCAACCCCUAUCAUUAGUUGCCAUCAGGUUAAGCUGGGGACUCUAAAGGAACUGCCUACGCAAGUAGUGAGGAAGGCGGGGAUGACGUCAAAUCAGCACGGCCCUUACGUCCAGGGCUACACACGUGCUACAAUGGCCGAUACAGAGGGCAGCUACCUGGUGACAGGAUGCAAAUCUCCAAAGUCGGUCUCAGUUCGGAUCGGAGUCUGCAACCCGACUCCGUGAAGUUGGAUUCGCUAGUAAUCGCGCAUCAGCCAUGGCGCGGUGAAUACGUUCCCGGGCCUU